AGCUGUGAUGAGACGAAGAAUUGCCUGACUUGGUAUUGUCACAUUGUGGACAAUGAUCAAAGUAUGACCUCGUUUUUAAUCUUCUCUCUGAGCUG